rnacentral:tRNA from 1 species
GGAAAUGUGGCUCAGUGUUAGAGUGCUUGCCUUGCAUGCAUGAGGCCCUGGGUUUCAUUCCUCAGCACCA